rnacentral:rRNA from 1 species
CAGCCGCCGCGGUAAUACGAAGGGGGCUAGCGUUGUUCGGAAUCACUGGGCGUAAAGCGCACGUAGGCGGACAUUUAAGUCAGGGGUGAAAGCCUGGAGCUCAACUCCAGAACUGCCCUUGAUACUGGGUGUCUCGAGUCCGGAAGAGGUAAGUGGAACUGCGAGUGUAGAGGUGAAAUUCGUAGAUAUUCGCAAGAACACCAGUGGCGAAGGGGGCUUACUGGUCCGGUACUGACGCUGAGGUGCGAAAGCGUGGGGAGCAAACAGGAUUAGAUACCCCCGUAGUCCCUGUCUCUUAUAC